UGAUUUAGUGAUCGAUAACCGUUGAAGAUGGGAGUAUGACUUUUCGUUGUAGUUUAACAUAACCUCUCUUUUGCAAUAUCUAAGAUCUUUAGAAGUUCUUAAGAUAUGUGUGAAGUGUACAGUACUGUAUUUUUAUACACUUCGUAAUUAUCAGUCGAAGUGUUCAGUCUAUGCUCUUUUUCAUACUUUGCAAUUGUUUAAGCAAAUAAGCGUAUAUUUUGAGGUUAUGAAUGACCUUUCUGUAUUGUUUAUGAGAAAAUACAUUCUCGUUUUAAAUAUAUUUUUAUUAUCUGUAACAUAUAUAACUUAUAUUUUAUUAUGAAGCGACGUCAAAGAAGGCCUGUUUUAGAACUUAAUCAAUCGCAGUCCGGUUUUCAUGGAGAACAUUUACAAAACAAACACAAACAUAUAAAUAGUGAUUACCCUGGACAAAACAUACCUACAAAUCCUCUGGCAAAUUUACUUUGUCACUAUAAUUCAGAUAGUGAUACUGAAGACUCAAAGAAAGAUUGCAAAUUAGAUGAUCAAGUUAAUAAUUUUUUUAAAGAAAUCCAACUGAUUGCACCCAAACAACCAGUCUCAAAUGAAUCUAGCAAUGUCGCCUUAACAACAAAUUCUAACACACGCUUAGCACAUUAUACAAAUCAACAAGCACUCAUGUGGAGAGAAUGCUUAGAUGAAUCUUCAGGUUAUCCUUACUAUUGGCACAUUGAGACUAACGAAGUAACCUGGGAAAUGCCAGAUGAAUUACGGUACUUAAAAAACAACAUUAAAACGAGCUCUGUUAUAAAACCACUUUCAAUGCAAGAGUCUCAUUGGGUUGAUUUCUCAUCAGUUACAUAUCAACAAUCCCAUGAAAAUAUACCAGAAGGUAUGAUCCCGCGAGAAGUGGUGGCUCGAAAUCGUAAUAGAUAUAUUUGCAAUGAGACUUUGCAGAAGCCAGAAUCUCAAACUGAUCCAGACACUGCUAACACAUCUGAUACCAUGGAUAACGAUUCUGAUGAUGGGAAAAUAGAAAUGAUCACAUCCUAUGGGAGUGAUGAAAGUGAUUCAGAUACAGUGGAUGAGAAUCGAUCAAAGAACGAUGUAAAAGAAUCAUCGGUGAAAAGCACAAGUACAGCACCAAAAUUGAGAUGCCCUGAAAAACUUUCUACAUCAACUCCUAUAAUCCAACCACAGUUACUGACAAUUUCUCAGAAUCCAAAUCAAAUGUACGAAAACAAAGGUACUAUAGAAGAAUCAAUGGUAGAAUCCGUGGACUCAAAACCAUCCGAUGAUGCAGAGGCUAAGUACUUAAUAAACCAAAUUAAACAAGAUGCUGUUCAAAAGAUAGAUUAUACGGAUAAAAUUAAUAAUGAUAGUCGAUUGAUGAAAGAAUCUGUAACAAAGAAAAGCAGUAAUAAACACAGUGUUGACUCCGAUGUAGACUUCCGCAUUUCUUUAGUGCCUGGUUAUGAUGAAGAUUCAGAUGUUGAAGAAGAAUCUGAAGAUAAACAGGAGAGAAAAGCUCUAUUUCCAAUUCCUCAAACCAAAGAAACCAUGGAGAGUAUGUUAUUAGGUAAAAUUGAUGAUGAUCAAAUAACAGAGAGUAAUGACAAUGAAGAAAUUAAUAGCGAAAGGAAAAACGUACAAGAAGAUAAUGAAGACAUUCUAGAAAGGUUAGAAUACAGAGAUGAUUCAAAUACUAAAACAGAGGAGGAUAUGCAAAAGGGAAACAAAUUUGUCGAUAACGUACAUGGUCGGAAUAAAUUUUUUCAAAGGAAAAAACGUAUUGCAUUUGAUGUUCCAUCUACAAAGAUAAAAACAAAUAAUGAUAAUGAAACGAGUAAACUGGAAGUAGAGACCCAACGCGAGGAAAUGAACUCUUGCGAUGAGCAUCUUAUUGAACCUCAGGUUGAUCAGCAAGAAGAACCAAACACUGCGAACGAGAACGUGGAAGAGAAUGUUUCAACUUGCAAAGAUGAAUCAAAUAGUACUGAAGGAGAAACAAGUACAUCAGAAACGAAUGGUGAAUCCAAAGAAGAUGAAGGGGAGGUUAAUCUACUAUCCCAGAUCAUACUUGAAAAAUUAAAGUUUCUAUCAGAAGGAAAACCAGGUGUAUCGCCAGUUCAAUUGAUGUCUAUUCAGCUACAAACAUUGUUUGUUGCAUGGGAAGCAGGUUGUUUAGAAAAGAAUUACUUGCGUAGAUGGUUGAGUGACACCAGUCACGAAUUGGAACGCUUGGAACAAGAUGCAGCACCACCUGGAUGGCUAUGUCAGUGGGAUAGGUCGCAUAAGCGAUAUUAUUACCAGAACACUGCCACUGGAAUUACACAAUGGACUUAUCCGGAUACUGGCAUCGCCGGUGGAGCUGAAGAAAUGGAAAUUUGUUCCACGCCUCCUCCAGCUGAGCAAGAAGAUAUUAUUAUACCUGCAGAAGAAGAAGGACUAAGAUCAAAGUCAAAGAAAUCAGAAGGUGGAGAGACAACAGAGGACAUGACGAUGCCAAGGAACAGCGACAUAGAAGCUCCGCCUCCACCCCAAAUUUCAAAUCCGAGCCCACCUCCACCCCCAAGAAUAUACGCGGAGGAUUUGAAGAGGGACAAAAGGAAACAAGAUAAGUGCAAUGACAAAUUGGAUGAUAAGAGACCACGACUAGGAGAAGAGGGAGCAGCAGUCGCGGAAAUAAAACAAUUAGAAAAUUCUGUUGCCCCAUCUUCUGCCUUACUGUCGCCUCAGCCUGCCAAUCUUGCAAACGUAACUAGCGCAGAACCCCUGCCACCAGGUGUCGAUUUAACAGAAGCACCUUAUGAGAUACCUGCAACUGCCCUGAAGAGAAUUAUUUAUGGCGCUGUGCAGUCACAAGGUGCUGCGCUCUACGAUGCAACUGCGAGAGAUCCGACAGUUCCUAUUCUAAGUCAUCCAGCGACCAUAGUACAAGAACAUUAUCUUCAAUAUCCAGCAUAUCAUCAACACUUACACGCUCCAGCGGCCUUAGUACUUCCGCAUAAGCACAAUGUGCAGCCUGCAAUUCAGCUAAUACCUGACUACACUCCAAUAUAUACAAAUCAUAAGGUCAUUGAGAAGCCACCAGUUAAAACAGCGAAAGAAUCUUUAGUGUCUGCACUAGAUUCAUUUUACAAUGAUAUUGCGCGAAUAGAGAAUAUCGGAAUGGAGAAAGUUCCUCAGAGACAAGAUACUAUGACGGUGGAACCGUCAUCCUUACCAACAGAGGAAGCCAAAUUAGAAACAGAGCAAGAACCUAUCCCUGUUGAAACUACUGUGAAAGAAAAGAAAAGGAAAAGGACAAGGAUUGGUAUUAGUAAAAAGCAUAAAGAAGUUUCUAGUAUGGUUGCAAAAUGGCAAAAGGUGCAACAGAAUUUCGAAAACACGUAAAUUGCUGCAACUUGCCGAUAUUUAGAUCACUCGAUACAAAUAGCACACUGUACUCCCGCCAGUAUAGUGACCCUGUACCUGCAAUUAACUAUAUUAUUCUCUGCGCUCCAUUUUCUAUUUUUAAAAUUUGACGAACUUACUAUUAAGAAUUUGUAGGUUCUGAAAAAAGAAUAUUGUAAAUUUUGAGGAGUUAUAGAUAUGGUUUUCUUAUCAUUGUGUACAAAGUAUAGGCUGAUCUCUUUUAAUGCUCAUCAACUGUGAGAGAACGAUAUUAUCGCGAUUUAUAAGCAUUUGAAAUAAAAAAAGUAUUGUAAUUUAAUAACAUUCAAUUCCAUUGUCUUCGCGUAUAGGUUUAUAUGUACUAUGCUUUGAAGUAUUUAGGAUUUAUUUAUCCUCAAUUAUCAUGGAAGAAAAGUGUUCUCCCAUGCUAUACAAUUUAAAAACCAAAUAUUUCAGUGCUACGUUCUCAAAAGCUACCUCUUAUCACAGGUGUAGAGUUAAUUACCUAUUUUUCAAAACAACAAAAAGAGGCUUCUACUUGUUUGUUUAAGGUUAUGUAACUUCGUUUGAAUGCAAGUUGAGGAGAUAGUGUUAUGAUCAUAUUUAGGAAUAUAACAUCAGUUCGAAAUGCCUAGAAGACAAUAAAUACGAAGCUAAUAAUUGCGUAAUGCAAUUUGAAAAUUACAAGCUCUAAAGAAGUAAUGAUCAAUAGGAAGAUGCGAGGUAUAAAACCGCACCUCCCUUUACCCGAAGAAAGAGAAAAAAUAAAAGAAGAGUACCUACAAUCUCGCAAAAAAUAGUAAAGUUUUUUAUGGGUGUUAGGUUUUAUAUAUAAUUUUAUAGCUACUUUAUAAACGUUAUUUAUAUCUACAAAAUCAUUUUUAUCAUAAUCUUGAAAUAUAUAAGAGAUGUAUUCCUAAAAUAGAUAACUCUUUGUUCAUUUCUAUAAUUACAUGGAUUAUAUGUAAAAGUAAAGUAAAUGCAAAACAGUC